CCCUUCCUUCUCUAUAAAACUUCCAGCUUCAUGUCCAGCCCCCUGCACCCCCAGCCAGUUUUGUGAAGUAGGUUCACAGGGAACUGGUUAACAACUUGUCUGAGUCUGGUGAGACAGAACACGCCAUCCCCACCCCACCCCAAAUCUAGUUACAUGAAGUGGGAUUCUUGCUUGUAGAUAGGUGGCAAGAGAAAACAGAAGCCCAGAGUCCAUUGUGAGCCAGUCCCCCUGAAACCACCUUUGCAACAAUUAUAACAGUGAGAAAAUCAUGGCAGUGAAAGAAAUCUGGUUUAGCCAACUCCUUUCUUGCCUUUAGCCUUCAAACUGCCCUUAACUAUUCCUGGGCUUGGGCCAAGCUAACUUUGGGAGAUAUUUAGCUUAUAGUUUAAAUGAUAAUAGUCCUUCUCCAAACAAAAUUGCUUUUGUAAAACUAAUGAAAGGCCACCAAGCUGGGAGGAUGAGAGGAGCCCAAAUUCUGCUAAGGUGUACACAUAAAUUAUUACCAGACAUUAUUGCGGAGUUCACAAGGUGUGUAACUUCCCCAAUGACUCCUGAAGAUAACAUCACUAUUGUAGAACCUAAGAUUGGCCUUUUAAGAUGUCUUUUCAGGUUUUUUGCAUGUCUGACACUGAUGACCCCACCUGGACCCACCAACCCCUCCUGUGGCCCCAACCAGAAGUGACUCAGCGCCAGGAGAACCAUUUCCCACAGCCCAGUGAUGGCAGCCUUGACCAAUCAGCAGGAAACACCCAGCCUAGC
rnacentral:lncRNA from 10 species